GACUCCUUGGCGCAAAUGGCAGCGCGUACGACUCCAGAUCGUAAGGUUGGGCGUUCGAGUCGCUCAGGGGUCA